AUGAGAUGCUGGCUGCUCUUCUAUAUUUUCCUAUGUCUCCUAGAGGCAGCGCUCAUGAACACUAAAAUUUUUCAGACACCUAGAUAUCUGGUCAUGGGAAGAGCAAAUAAUAAAUCUUUGAAAUGUGAACAACAUCUGGGAAAUAAUGCCAUGUACUGGUAUAAACAGAGUGCCGAGAAGCCGCCAGAGCUCAUGUUCUUCUACAAUCUUAAACAACUGAUUCAAAACGAGACUGUGCCCAGUCGUUUCUUACCUGAAUGUCCAGACACCUCCAAGUUAUUCCUUCACCUGUCUGCCCUGGAGCCAGAAGACUCAGCUGUGUAUUUCUGUGCCAGCAGCAAAGACACAGCCCUGCAGAUUCAUCAGCUCUCUGUACACAAACCUACAACUCCAGGAAGCUAUGGGACAACUGAGGGCUCCAUUGAACAUUUCCUGUAGGACCCAAGGCAGAUGUUGCAAACCAUAAUACUACCUUCCAACUCAACCCAUGUAGCACCUCUAGAUUUCAUGGCCAUGUUUAGGGGUGGUGCUUCCUUUACUGCCCGUGGCUU